CUUCUAUCGAGUUUAAAGGCGCCCGUACCGUAAACCGACACAGGUGGGUGAGGAGAGCAUCCUAAGGCCAGCGAGAGAACUAUUGUUAAGGAACUCGGCAAAAUGACCCCGUAACUUAGGGAGAAGGGGUGCCUGUCUAUGACAGGCCGCAGAGAAUAGGCCCAAGCGACUGUUUACCAAAAACACAGGUUUCUGCUAAGUCGCAAGACGAUGUAUAGGAGCUGACGCCUGCCCGGUGCUGGAAGGUUAAGGGGAUCUGUUAGAGCAAUCGAAGCAGUGAACUUAAGCCCCAGUAAACGGCGGCCGUAACAAUAACGGUCCUAAGGUAGCGAAAUUCCUUGUCGGGUAAGUUCCGACCCGCACGAAAGGCGUAACGAUUUGGGCACUGUCUCAACAAUAGACUCGGUGAAAUUGUGAUCCCGGUGAAGAUGCCGGGUACCUGCGACAGGACGGAAAGACCCCAUGGAGCUUUACUGUAGCUUGACGUUGGGUCUUGGUACUACAUGUACAGGAUAGGUGGGAGACUAUGAAGCAUGGACGCCAGUCUGUGUGGAGUCAUCCUUGGGAUACCACCCUUGUAGUACUGGGAUCCUAACCAUAGGCCUUGAAUCAGGUCUUGGAACACCGUCAGGUGGGCAGUUUGACUGGGGCGGUCGCCUCCUAAAAAGUAACGGAGGCGCUCAAAGGUUUCCUCAGCACGGUCGGAAAUCGUGCGAAGAGUGUAAAGGCAAAAGGAAGCUUGAUUGCAAGACAUACAGGUCGAGCAAGGACGAAAGUCGGACUUAGUGAUCCGGUGGUACCGCAUGGAAGGGCCAUCGCUCAACGGAUAAAAGCUACCCUGGGGAUAACAGGCUUAUCUCCCCCAAGAGUCCACAUCGACGGGGAGGUUUGGCACCUCGAUGUCGGCUCAUCACAUCCUGGGGCUGUAGUAGGUCCCAAGGGUUGGGCUGUUCGCCCAUUAAAGUGGUACGCGAGCUGGGUUCAGAACGUCGUGAGACAGUUCGGUCCCUAUCCGUCGCAGGCGUAGGAAAUUUGAGAAGACCUGUCCUUAGUACGAGAGGACCGGGAUGGACGUACCUCUGGUGUACCAGUUGUUCUGCCAAGGGCAUGGCUGGGUAGCUAUGUACGGAAUGGAUAAGCGCUGAAAGCAUCUAAGCGCGAAGCCAACUUCAAGAUAAGAUUUCCCACCGUAAGGGUAAGACCCCAGUAAGACUACCUGGUUGAUAGGUCGAAGGUGUAAGUGCAGUAAUGUAUUUAGCUUAUCGAUACUAAUAGGUCGAGGACUUGACC
rnacentral:rRNA from 1 species